rnacentral:tRNA from 1 species
UCCCUGAUGGUCCAGUGGCUAAGACUCCACAUUCACAAUGCAGAGGGGCCCAGGUUCUAUCCCUGGUCAGGGAA